UGGGGGAUCGUAUAAUGGUAGUACUCCGGCCUUUGAAGCCGAGAAUCAUGGUUCGAGUCCAUGUCCCCCAACCA
rnacentral:tRNA from 1 species